rnacentral:rRNA from 1 species
GACGAACGCUGGCGGCGUGCCUAACACAUGCAAGUCGAACGGGACCAGGGGCAACUCUGGUUCAGUGGCGGACGGGUGCGUAACACGUGAGGAACAUGACCCUUCGGCGGGGGAGUAGCCGGCCCGAACCGGCCGGGUAACGUACCGCGUACGACCACUUGGGGACGAUCCUUGAGUGGUGGAAAGACAGCAAUGCGCCGAUGAAGUGCCUCGCGGCCUAUCAGCUAGUUGGUGAGGAACGGCUCACCAA